UUUUGAGAGGGGAUUCUUGCUGAACUGCUUAAACUGACAUCAAGCUUUGGAUCCUCCUGCCUCAGCCUCCCAACCAUCUGGGAUUACAGGGCUGGGGCUGGAGCACUGGAGCCCAGGGCCUUGUACAUGACUGGCAAGUGCGCUACCACUGGCUGUAGCCCAGCCCUGCCUUCCUCCUGACUUCCUAUCCAGCUGGCCUUUGCUACAUCAAUCAGCCCAACCACAGCCAUCAACAGUGAGUCUGGGUGAGCUGGGAUCCUUGGAAAAGAUUGCUAUGUCAACCAACUUUAUAAGUUCUGCUGAAUAAAAGAAGAGCAAGAGAGAAGGAGGCCUUGUGCUCAGGGGACGUUGCCAAGGACCCAUGACACAGAAGAAGCAGAAAGAGCUGGUGAAAUCUAAUCCAGAGUGGGGAAGAGCUGGAAGGAUUGCCCGCACCACCUCUGCCUCCCGCAGCUGUGACUCCCUGAGGCGCUGAUGUCUUUAUGCUAGCAAUAUCUGUAUUUCUGAAAGAACAAGAGGACUUUUCCUCUCUACACUCUGCCACUGUCACAGGUGGUUUCACAUAUGCUUGGAGGCUUUUGCCACCACUUUGUUAUAGAUUCAUCCCCUACCCAAAACUCCAGCCCGGGGAAACCAUGUACUGAGAUUUCUAAUCAACACCCAAAUGUCUGCUCAACAUUAGACAAAGAAUAGGGGGAGGGAGGGGUCCCACAUACCAGCAGGGUAACUUCGGGCAAGUCAUGAGCAAGUCAUCUG
ensembl:lncRNA